rnacentral:rRNA from 1 species
GACGAACGCUGGCGGCGUGCUUAACACAUGCAAGUCGAACGGAAAGGCCCUGCUUUUGUGGGGUGCUCGAGUGGCGAACGGGUGAGUAACACGUGAGUAACCUGCCCUUGACUUUGGGAUAACUUCAGGAAACUGGGGCUAAUACCGGCUAGGAGCUCCUGCUGCAUGGGGGGGGUUGGAAAGCUUAGGCGGUUGGGGCUAGACUCGCGGGUUAUGAGCUUGUUGGUGGGGUAGUGGCUUACCGAGGCUUUGACGGGUAGCCGGCCUGGGAGGGUGACCGGCCACAAUGGGCCUGAGAUACGGACCAGUCUGCUACGGGAGGCAGCGGUGGGGAACAUUGCACAAUGGGCGGGAGCCUGAUGCAGCAACGCCGCGUGCGGGAUGCCGGCCUUCGGGUUGUAAACCGCUUUAGCCUGUGACGAAGCGUGAGUGACGGUAAUGGGUAAAGAAGCACCGGCUAACUACGUG